GCUUCUUUUUCACCGGAGCUUGCUCCACCGGAAAAAGAAGAGUGGCGAACGGGUGAGUAACACGUGGGUAACCUGCCCAUCAGAAGGGGAUAACACUUGGAAACAGGUGCUAAUACCGUAUAACAAUCGAAACCGCAUGGUUUUGAUUUGAAAGGCGCUUUCGGGUGUCGCUGAUGGAUGGACCCGCGGUGCAUUAGCUAGUUGGUGAGGUAACGGCUCACCAAGGCCACGAUGCAUAGCCGACCUGAGAGGGUGAUCGGCCACAUUGGGACUGAGACACGGCCCAAACUCCUACGGGAGGCAGCAGUAGGGAAUCUUCGGCAAUGGACGAAAGUCUGACCGAGCAACGCCGCGUGAGUGAAGAAGGUUUUCGGAUCGUAAAACUCUGUUGUUAGAGAAGAACAAGGAUGAGAGUAACUGUUCAUCCCUUGACGGUAUCUAACCAGAAAGCCACGGCUAACUACGUGCCAGCAGCCGCGGUAAUACGUAGGUGGCAAGCGUUGUCCGGAUUUAUUGGGCGUAAAGCGAGCGCAGGCGGUUUCUUAAGUCUGAUGUGAAAGCCCCCGGCUCAACCGGGGAGGGUCAUUGGAAACUGGGAGACUUGAGUGCAGAAGAGGAGAGUGGAAUUCCAUGUGUAGCGGUGAAAUGCGUAGAUAUAUGGAGGAACACCAGUGGCGAAGGCGGCUCUCUGGUCUGUAACUGACGCUGAAGCUCGAAAGCGUGGGGAGCAA
rnacentral:rRNA from 1 species